UACGAAGGGGGCUAGCGUUGCUCGGAAUGACUGGGCGUAAAGGGCGCGUAGGCGGAUUGUACAGUCAGAUGUGAAAUUCCCGGGCUUAACCUGGGGGCUGCAUUUGAUACGUGUGAUCUGGAGUGAGGAAGAGGGUCGUGGAAUUCCCAGUGUAGAGGUGAAAUUCGUAGAUAUUCGGAGGAACACCAGUGGCGAAGGCGGCUCACUGGCUCGACACUGACGCUGAGGUGCGAAAGCGUGGGGAGCAAACAGG
rnacentral:rRNA from 1 species